UGGGGAAUAUUGCACAAUGGAGGGAACUCUGAUGCAGCGACGCCGCGUGAGUGAUGAAGGAAUUCGUUUCGUAAAACUCUGUUCUAUGGGAAGAAAAGGACUGUACCAUAGGAGAAAGCUCCGGCUAAAUACGUGCCAGCAGCCGCGGUAAUACGUAUGGAGCGAGCGUUGUCCGGAAUUAUUGGGCGUAAAGGGUGCGCAGGCGGCUUUACAAGUUGGAUGUGAAAUAUUGUGGCUCAACCACAAACGUGCAUCCAAAACUGCAAAGCUUGAGUUAAGGAGAGGUAAGUGGAAUUCCUGGUAUAGCGGUGGAAUGCGUAGAUAUCAGGAGGAAUACCGGUGGCGAAGGCGACUUACUGGACUUAAACUGACGCUCAGGCACGAAAGCGUGGGGAGCAAACAGG
rnacentral:rRNA from 1 species